AAACGACGUGCCUCAAAUAAAGAAUUCGAAUUAUUUAUUGAGAAUAAUUUGUUGAAUGAAAAAAUUUCUGAUAAAAAUAUUACAAGCGAGUCAACAAAGAAAAAAAUGAAGAAAAAUGAAACAUACAAUGCGGACAAUACUCAAACUGAUACCUAGUAGAAAAUUAAACACAUCUGUUAACAAAGUUUCGCUUAAAAAAAAAUCUCUUCUAGAAAAAAUUCAACAAUUAGAGGCUGAAUUGAAAAAAAGGAUGAAAUACUUGGUAGCAAUGAGCAAGUUGAACAUUUAGAAAGGAUUUUUGAGAAGAAAAUGACGAAAUUAGAAGAAAGGUUAAAGAAAAACUUGGAGAAUACAAUAAAAAUGGUUGAAAACGUUGUUGGAGAGAGUGUUAAUCAACUUGACCAAAAGAUAUCAAAUAUCGAGAACAUGAUGAGUACGUCACCUGCACUCAAUAUUCAGAAAGUAUUAGAUUGGAUAAAUAAUCUUCCUGAGAAGAUUGUAUGAGGCUUUGUGCAAUGCCUUUCUCUUUUUUAAUUAUAAUAUUAAAAUUCUUCAAAUACUAGUACAUUUUUCUGUUUUCAUAUUGGAAUUUAUUUAUGGAAUGCAUUCUUAUUUACAAUUUAUUCCAAAUAGUGGUUAACUGCAAAUAUAAUACUACUCAGAACUUUUUACUCAUUUCUGCAAAGAAACAUCAUUUCUAGUUGUAAGCAAUACAUCUACCUUCAACUACACCCACUUCAAGUAGCGUAACCUCUGAACUUGAAGAAAAAGUAUUCUCUCUUUUUAUCUUUUUUUCUCUCGAAUCAAAACAUGCACGCUGAUAUCACAGUGUUUUUGUUAGUUAUUGCAUAGUAGAUGAGUUUUCUAAUCCAUUUGUAAGUUAUUGCUAUUUUCUCAGAUAAAUCUUGGUGAAGGAAUUAUGUGUUCCAAAUAUGCUCACCAACUUCUCAAUACAGUUAAAGAACAUUCUGAUUGGGCUGUAGCACUCCUUACAGGAGUGUACGGUGAUAAAGCCCAGAAAAUGCGGUAUGGGACGCCCCGGAGUCCAGACUUGGAAUCUUUUUCACGUUCUUUUGUAAAUAUUGCCAAAUACCAUUACAGAAAAUGGCUCGAAAACCUUACGAUAGGGAAUACUGAAGAUUGUAAGUACAGUUUUGUUCAAGUGGAAGAAUUGAUCAAUAGCCUCCCAACAUACCUUUCGAAAAGGUAUAUUGAUAUGAAUGGGCCCCGUCUAAAAAAAGAGUAAUACCUCGAGUGAACAAUCACGACAAAAACGGUUUGAUCCUAAUCGGAAAAGAAGACCAUAUCAGAGAAGAGGCUCUUUACCACAACUUCAGUUACCACCAGCUAUAUCAACUAUAACCCAGCAGCUACAUCAACAAGAAUCAGUAGUUCUACAGCAGUUACAAAAUCAAGAGCAACAUUUACAGCAGCUAAAUACACCAGUAUUAUUGGAGUCUGACAACUCAAACUGGCAAAUUCCUUAUAAUUUACCGUGUGAACCCUAGGGUCCAGCAGCAAUCCCAAUGAUUCG